rnacentral:rRNA from 1 species
UUUGCCCUACGGGGGGCAGCAGUGGGGAAUAUUGGGCAAUGGGCGCAAGCCUGACCCAGCAACGCCGCGUGAAGGAAGAAGGCCCUCGGGUUGUAAACUUCUUUUAUUCGGGACGAAACAAAUGACGGUACCGAAUGAAUAAGCCACGGCUAACUACGUGCCAGCAGCCGCGGUAAUACGUAGGUGGCAAGCGUUAUCCGGAUUUACUGGGUGUAAAGGGCGUGUAGCCGGGCUGACAAGUCAGAUGUGAAAUCCGGGGGCUCAACCCCCGAACUGCAUUUGAAACUGUUGGUCUUGAGUAUCGG